CUUUUAAGCUUGUGUAUAGUUACUUUUCCAUUCUCUUUAAUACAUUAUUUUUCUCUUGUCAGAACAAGGUGGUGCAGGAUAUAUUGUUUCACAAUGGAAUUAUCCCUGGUUUGGGGAAAUGGACACAUGAGUGGAGUCAUCCGGCCAAGAGGGGGAAAAAAUCGACAGAACAAGCAUCAUUGAGUUGUUGUCUGAGUGACAGCAGUGUAUGAGAGGCUGGGGACUUCAAUGUGUUCACAUAUCAGUUAAGUCAAGAUUCAGGAGAGAGGCGAAAAAGGAAACCAUUCCUUCUUUUUCUGCAUAUUUUAUGAACUGUAUAAGCAAGGCAGCUUCAUAAAUAAAACAUGAAGUCCAACUCUUAUCCAACAAAAUCUGUUGAGCACAAGUUUCUGACAUCUGGAAGUCCAGACUAACUAUUAAUAUAACAUAAAACAUUUACUUACAGUUGAUCUGGAAAAAGAACACAAGCAAGGUCAUCUUCUUACUAAAAUAACGUUUCUGGUUAAAAGUAUUCUAUUUGGCACAUGAGUUUAUCCCAGUGUUUUAGGAGCUUAAGAACAGUUGCUGUUUCCUGAUACCUAUCAUGCUCUGAAGGUCAGUUGUGUCUUAGUACAUAAUACAUCAACCCGAAGAAAACAUUGUGUCUUCUAAUUGCUUAUUUUAAAACCCACUGUGAAAAAACACAGGUUAAACACAUUGUCAGAGAGGAGAAAAUUGAUGUGUUGCUUGGCAAACCAGGAUAGCUACAGCCUGAGUGUAAAAUCUUCCACAGGGUAUGUCAUUUAAUAUCCCUGAUAAGUCAUUUAUCUCAUUUGCCAACAGAUACCAUGAUGUGCUGCAAUGGAAUGUCAGGGAGUUUGAUAUUUAAUUUGAAUGAACUGCUAUUUUAAAAGGAAAGUUAUUGUGAUGAAUCAUUAACUGGUGUUAUUAGCAUAGGGGUUUAUAAACUAUAUAGUGAAUAAUAGGAACCUUGAUAAUUGGUCCACAACUUAAUGCAUCAGCUAAAAACUUUUUUAUUUUUUUUGGUCCACACAUUCUAGAUCAAAAUUAUUAUGCAAGCCAAUUUUUUGCCAAUAGAAGCCACACACUUUAAAUCAAAAUUGUUAUGGAAGUCAGUUGUAUUAUUCAUAAUUUU
rnacentral:lncRNA from 1 species